rnacentral:sRNA from 1 species
AGAAGACCUCCCUAGAUCUGAAACUUGUACAAACGCAGGUUGUAAAAAAGCGGGAUGACGUAUUGACCGUCACCCCGC